UUAUCAGUCUAAAAACGAACAAAAAUAAACAAAACAUGCACGAGGAAAACGCAUGGUUGUAUUGACACUGCAGACGAAUAUAUCAACAUUUUACACAUUUUUUAUUGGGUCGUCUGCCUUGGUAUUAUUAUUUUUUUAAGUGCGAUACGUCAUCAUUACCAUACAUAUGUAUACAUACAAUAUUUACACAUCGCAUAGUCCUCAAAGUAUAUAAAUAGUCAAUUAUGUGAUUGUGGGUACGCGCAAUCAUUCAUCAUUUGGCCGCGGUGUUGUUCGGAUAUAGAUUACCGUUUACCAGCACAAACAUCGUUCUUCUUAGACGUUAUUAUGUCUCUUAGACUCAUCAAUAAGAAUAUUAUCAUGCUAAAUUCAUAUGUAACAGUUUUCUUCACUUUCUUAUUAUUUUUUCUAUGGAUACCACGAAUCAAAUCUUUACCACUCAACCACAGUCGUCAACAUGGUAAGAUAUAAAUUUUUAUGAAUGAAUUUUGACUUUCUAAAUUGAAUUUUAAAUUAAUUAUUAAUACCAGAAUUGUUUUAUUAUCAUAAUCAAUUAUAAAGUAUAUCAAACAGGUACGUUUUAUAAAGUAAUUUUUAAUCUAUCUUAAUUUUAUCAAAUUAAGUUUAUUUGUUUUAUUAAUAAUUUUAUUCUUGAGUGAGAAAUUAAAAUAAUUUUCUUCAAAAUAAUCUAACUUAUUUUGGUGUACAAGUUUAUGGGAAUUUUAUUUUUAGAGAUGAAUUAUCUGUAAACCCCUAUACAGACAUACAGCUCUGAUAAUAUAAUUCUCAUUAACUUCUCUAUUAGAAUGUGCACAUACCUAAUAUCAUCUAUGUGACAAUGUUCUAUAAAAUGUACAUUAGGUAAAAUAUGCAAAUAAAUGCAAUUUUAAACAGGUGCUUUUUAUAAUUUAGAUAUACUAGAAAUUUUAUCACAAUGAUUAUUUUGAUAGAAACCAAAGGUAACCAUAUUUCAUCUUGGUAUUGCAUAAUAUAAUAUACAUUAAUAUUAUGGUUUUUCAAGAUAUAUACAAUUUGGUAAGUAAGUUUAGUUUAAGCUGUUUAUUGUUAAAUGUUAGUUUAGUUCAUUACAAAGUUGAAAAACUAAUUUUCGAUUUUCUAAUGCAAUCUUAUAUUAUCAAACAUGAUACAUGGAGCUUUUAUUUUGUUAGUAAACUCAUUUAGUGUUUUAAAAUGAAUAACUUACAACUCUUAUUCACUUAGUAUAAAAGUAUAUCUAUGCCGAUUCCUAUUUCUUCUUUGACCUUGGUAGCUGUAAUACAAAAAGAAGAAAUAAAAAUAUUUAAUUAUAAGUUAUUUGUAAUAGUAAUCAAAAUUACAUUUUAAAAGCGAAUUAUGAAAGUGAAGUUCAUACUGUGAACUUCACAGUACGUGCAUUAUGUUACGAAAAUAUUGACACAAAUUCGACAAUAGUAUUUCAAAAUAAUAUUUAUAAUAGUUCUUAUAAAACGCAACAAGUACAAAACAUGGAAAGUUCCAAUUAUAAACAAAUCCUCUAAAUGAGAUGGUCUUUGUACCGAAGGUAAUGCAGGAAUUACUCUCUAAGAAAAAAUUAAACAAUAUGUUGAUACUAUUAUAGGAAAAUAUAAAAAAAAUUGUCAUCGAAAGUAGUGUCGCUGAUCUUUAUAGUCAUGUAUUACGAUUAAAUAAUUAAUAAUCAUUAAUCAUAAUAAACAUACAAAAAAAUAAAUGGUUAUAAAACAUUUGGAAGUGGUAUAAACUAGUAAAAUAUUUUUAUUAUGUAAUUUAUGUAAAAUUUGACAUCAGCGCCACUACAAAGUGGACCAGAAUUAAAAAAAAAACUGAUCACAAAUUGCUUUAACUUAAAGGUUAUUAAUUAUUUAAAAAGUCAAAUUAUUAAUUAUUAAGUUAGCUGAAUUAAAAUUUUUUUUAAUUUUAUAAUUUUAAAUGGGGUUAAGGAGACAAUUUUUUUUAAAUUACAACUUUUAUAAAAUCUCUAACUAUGAAUGAAGUUAUUUGUUCAUUUAUUGCUAUUUUUGUUGAUUUAUAUACAAAGUACAAAACAAUUUAUAUAAAUUUUUUUUUAAACUUUUAUUGAAAUAUUUUCAUUACAUCAUAUAAAAUAGAAAACAAUAACUUUAAAUUUCAUUUUGCUCUAUGUCAUUAUAAUUUCAUUCUCUUCUAAAUAGCAUUCUUAAUGUUAUUUUUAUUUUCAUCUCAAAUAACAAAAUUUGAUGUUUUGCUUUUAAUUUUUAAAUAUUUAAAUUAUAAUACCGGUAGGUAUUAGCACCUAAAUUUUAUGAUUUACAAUUACAUUCAUGUUUAGUUAAUUUUUAAACAAAAUUGACUUGGAAUUUUUUUUAAAACUUAAAUUUAACUAUUUUGUCAUUCUGUUUAUUAAUACUUAUUUUCCUUUAUUACUUUCAAAAGUUGAUUUAAGUAAUAAUUAUUAAUACAUUUCGUAAGGUCGUUACUUAAAUUUUUUAUUGGUGUAUGUUAUGGAUACAUGAGCAGUAUAAUACUAGUACACAAAAAAAUAUAUAAAAGCGCUCUCAAUUGUUUUUUUUACAAGUAAAUAUUUUCCAUAAUUAUAGAUCAUUUUACUAGUACAUAAAAAACAUUUUUAGAUUUCAGAAUAAUGUUUAUUAAUGUCUAAACAUAUUUGAUAGGGAUUAAAAUCAUUAUCCUAAUAAAAGUUUUUAUGUAAAUAGUAUUUAAUUUAAAAAAAUUAAAAUGAACUCCUCUUUCCUUGUUUAUACCCCGAUAAGUUUUAUAAUUUAUAAGGAUAAUAUUUUUAUUAAUAGUUAUUAAAGUGAUUAAAUUUAGUAUGUAAUUGAUAUUUAAUAAUUUUGUAUAAUAAUUUUUAUAAAAAAUUAUAAAGAAGUUAUAUAUUUGAUAACUUUUAUGACAAACAUGUAUAAAAAAACAAUUUUAUAUUGAAUUUUUUUUUGGGGGCGGGGGUAGUUAUGAACACCAACCUUUUUUUUAUAACUUAAGAAUUUACUUUAUAUUCUAUUAUUUUUUAUUAUAGCCGUUUAAUGUUUCAGAUUGUUUUGUCAUUGUAAUCAAAUAUCGUAUUAAUUAAAUGAAAAUAAUUUAAUUUAAAGUGUUGGAAAAAUCUAGAUAAAAAUAAUAUUGUAUUUUAUCUUAGCUAAAUUAAUUUAGAAAUAUUAAUUUACGAGUACUUUUUACAGUACUUAAAAUGUAUUGAUCUUACCCAAAAAUUUAUUUAUCGUAUUUUGUAUAAUUUCACAAAACACAUUAUGAUAAAACCGUAAGAAAAAUUAUAAGAACAGUUGUGGAAAUGAAUUUAAAGGAAAGAAAAUGUAGAAGAUGACCAAAAAGAGAUAGAGGGAUGAUAUUGAAUGCGAUAUGAGGUUGGUUGAUGUGGGAGAUCGUGUUAAGUGAAGUAUAGGAUAAGGGUGGCUGACAUCAAUUAGUUAGGAUGGAGGCCAGUAAAAAGAAGAAAAAGACAUUAAGAUAAAACCAUAAAACGCAAAUAUCUUGUACUAACUUCUAACUAAAUCUUGUGUAAUUUUAAUUUAUGUUCCUGUCAUUUUUCAAUAAAGUGAUGACCAAAAAUACAUCAUGGGCUUCUUUGUAUAAUAUCCUAUUGAGUGAUACAAAGUAAGGAAACGGAGGUUUUUUUUUUCAUUUUUUAUAUUAUCAACUGAUGUAAAGUCCCUAUAAAGGACAUUCUUCUAUAGAACUAAGCGGUGUAUUUUUAUGAAAAAAAUAAUAUUGACAUUAUAUCAAUACGAGUUUAAAAAACAUUACCUAAGUUUAAAAGGUCAUAAUAUGACUAUAAUAUAGUAUAUUAUAUAGUCGGGAUCCAGCGUAUGGUGUUUUUUUAGAUUAGUAUAGAUUGAUAUCUGACAAUGAUUAAAAUCACUAUUAUAAAAUGCUAUGAUGUUCAAAUAUGCAUCAAACUAAAAAAAAAUGUAUUAUAUUUAUCAAAAAUUACAUGAUUUUUUACUUAAAAGACCGAUUACUUGUAGAGGACAAGUGGUCGGAAUGUCUUUUUUUUCGAAUCUGUAGUAUACAAAAAACCGAAAAUUCUAUCUAAUGAUGAAGAUGUUUCCUAGUUAUACAAAAUAUUUUAAGAUCAAUCGUUUUUGCCAAAAAAUGUAUAAUUUUUGGUUUUUAUGCCCACUAUAAUUUGAUUUAUUUUUAAAAAUUAUAGUAAAUAUCAAGUUUGGGAUGUAGAGUGGCGCAGUGGAUCAUUCAGUCCCUAUCUUACAAUGUUAGUACUAUUUGAUGUUAUUUACUAGAUGGGUUACUAUCAGGAACUAUAAUAUUGACACACACCUUACCUCUUACUGGUUCCCUCGACCAUAAAGAAGUAGCGACAGGUAGACAUUUGGUGUAAAAAUCUUGUCAAAUAAAUAAGGUAGAACCGACCCAAAAUAAAAUGAAUAGAAACUAACAAGAUAAUAAUGAGUAAAUAUCAAGUUUAUUAUAAGGAAAAAUUGUUUCUGACGAUACAUUUUAGAGAUAGCUUUUUUAAGAGAAAGUAAGAAUGGAAGGGAGGAAAAACGUUAAGAAUAUUAUUAAUAAAUGAAAAAAGGAAUUUAUCUACAUUUUAUAUAGAUAAAAGAUAAAUUAUUUUAUCUUUAAUUUCAAUAGUUAUAUAUCAAAAUAUCUUUAUCUCAUCUAGAUGGCCUUUUAUUCGAAUAUCUAUAUCUAAUCUAGAUGAAUUUUUGUUUAUUUAUUUCCAACACUGGUUAAAAGACAUAAAACAAGUUUAUACAAAUAGUUUAGUACUAAGAUGUGUGGUUGAAGAAAUAUUGUUUUUACUAGUUUCCACAAAUAUACUUAAAAUUAUAUUCUU